GCCCGGCUAGCUCAAUCGGUAGAGCGUGAGACUCUUAAGGAGUUAUCCGUCAUCUCAAGGUUGUGGGUUCGACCCCCACGUCGGGCU
rnacentral:tRNA from 1 species